rnacentral:misc_RNA from 1 species
CUUUGCCAAGCCUCUGAGAGGGAUGAAGAUAUUGUUUUCUUUGAUCAGAUUAUGCCGGUAAAGGUUUUCUGGUUUACCCUAUAGGGCUUGUAGCUCAGUUGGUUAGAGCGCGCGCUUGAUAAGCGUGAGGUCCGUUCAAGUCCUCCCAGGCCCACCAGUUACACGAUGCUAAAAGUUGCUAUAUUGGGAGAGUUGAUAAUC